AGUAAAUAAAGACCAUAUUAACGAUGUUAACAUGAUGAGACAUCGAUUUUAUGGAAUGGAGGAGAAGAUUUAACAGCUAGAAAUUAACAAAAAUCCUGCAAGAGCAUCGAGAUCUCGCUUUUGGCGAGUGGAAGUCCAAAGGCAAAGUGCAGCGGUUUGCAGUUCUUAGCCUUACUUUUUUGGACCUAACAGGACAGGAAAAGAAUAGUCAAAGAGGAAACCCGUAGCCAGAUGAUAAUAUAUGAAACCAUGAGCAGCCAGCCAUUGAAACUCUCAGCAAUUUGAAUAACAAUUUUGAUUAUUACCAAUCAUGUAUCAUACCUAUUAAUAGAAAAUUAAAACUGU